rnacentral:ncRNA from 2 species
AUCGACCGGUCAGGAGAGAGUGCUCCGUCUUGUCCCCAGGACGCGCAGCACCGCCGAAGGCGCAGGCAGCAGCCGAACGCUCAGGCAAAAGGACUGGCAACCGCCC